UAGUAAAAUCCAAAUCCAAAUUCAAAGCCAAACUCAAUACUUUGGCUUCUCUUUUCUUUCUUUGCUUAACCAAUAUUCUUGCAUUAUUCCUUCACUUCACAAGAAACCUAAUCAUUGUAAAACAUAACUAGUUUGAUUUUCUCUUCUUUCCCUCGAUAGAGGGCUAGAAGUUCAAUUUCAAACUUUUAUAUGGAUAGUAUUAGAAAGUUCUCUAAGGGUUUUUUGGGGUUUUUUGUCCUUCUAGUAUUUGUUUGGUUAUUGUUGGUUGAAGUAUUUGAAAAUGGAGGUGUUACAAGAAUGAAUUAUGUUCAUCAAGUUAUGAAGAAUAGCAAAGUAGUUAUGAAAACACACAAGAGAAGUACUAAUCAUGUUCAUCCAAAGAUUGAUUUCAACUUGGUGAGUAAAAGAAGAGUUCCUAAUGGUCCUGACCCAAUCCACAACAGAAGAGCUCGGAGUUCUCGUAGGCCACCUGGUCAAGCUUCCAAAGGAAAACUCAACAUUAAGCCAUAAAUAAAUUAGGGCAAAUUAGAUAAUUGAGGCUUGUUUUUUUGUGUUUUU